rnacentral:rRNA from 1 species
UACGAAGGGGGCUAGCGUUGCUCGGAAUCACUGGGCGUAAAGCGCACGUAGGCGGAUCCUUAAGUCGGGGGUGAAAUCCUGGAGCUCAACUCCAGAACUGCCUUCGAUACUGAGGAUCUCGAGUCCGGGAGAGGUGAGUGGAACUGCGAGUGUAGAGGUGAAAUUCGUAGAUAUUCGCAAGAACACCAGUGGCGAAGGCGGCUUACUGGUCCGGUUCUGACGCUGAGGCGCGACAGCGUGGGGAGCAAACAGG